rnacentral:rRNA from 1 species
CCUACGGGAGGCAGCAGUGGGGAAUAUUGCGCAAUGGGCGAAAGCCUGACGCAGCGACGCCGCGUGAGGGAUGAAGGUCUUCGGAUCGUAAACCUCUGUCAGCAGGGAAGAACGGUCACUGUGCUAAUCAGCAGUGAAUUGACGGUACCUGCAAAGGAAGCACCGGCUAACUCCGUGCCAGCAGCCGCGGUAAUACGGAGGGUGCGAGCGUUAAUCGGAAUUACUGGGCGUAAAGCGCUCGUAGGCGGUAUGUCAAGUCAAGGGUGAAAUCCCCGCGCUCAACGUGGGAACUGCCUUUGAAACUGGCAAACUGGAGUGUGUGAGAGGAUAGUGGAAUUCCAGGUGUAGGAGUGAAAGCCGUAGAUAUCUGGAGGAACAUCAGGGGCGAAGGCGACUAUCUGGCACAUAACUGACGCUGAGGAGCGAAAGCGUGGGUAGCAAACAGGAUUAGAUACCCUAGUAGUC